AUGCGAAAUUUUGAGGAGAAGGACUACGUAGCAUGGCUACAAUUUUGUAGCUCUUAAUUGGAUAAAUUACGAUAAAACUCAAAUCUCUCCGCCAGUAAGUUUUGUUGAAUGUCCACUUGAAAAGGAUCAUUUUGCAAGGAUGAGUAAUGCAUCAAACUUCAAGAUUUUGAAGGCCAUUUGACUCCUCUCCACGAGCAGCAUGAUUGAACAAAUCUCCAACAGGACACGGGCACCCCACCUUAUCACAUGGUGUAGGCAUCGUCCUUGAGGAUAUCUAUGAACAGGGGAAAAAAAACUGCAGAAUCUAAAGAAAUAUUUGGUAGUGCACAUAAUACACAGAAUGUCCAUGAGACCAAGAGAUCCUAUGCAAGAUUGUAGCAGAACAUCAAAGACCGUAACCCAUGCACAGAGGACACAAGUGAUCACCAGCGAAAAGACAUGGAUUAGCAUACUGAAAGAUGGAUUCAGAUUCCAAUAAAUUGCAAUGUUGAUCUAUCUUGUCAAUUUUACAAAUUCAGAUUCCUACUCACAAGUAGGAGCUUGUAUGCGCC
rnacentral:misc_RNA from 1 species